rfam:Ictidomys tridecemlineatus contig007913, whole genome shotgun sequence.
CGGAGUGUAGCUCAGUGGUAGAGAGCUUGCCUAACAUAUCAGAGGCCCUGGGUUCCACUCCCAGUACUACAU